CAAAGGCAAUAAAACUAAUUUUUCUUAAAAUAAAUAAUAAAUUUAAGUUUGACAAGAAUAGUUAUUAGAGGUAAGGAAAAGGGUGUCCGGUUCAAACACGAGUUCUAACGCACCGAAAAUCCAACAAUCUGGCAACACAAGCAAUAAUAGAAUUAUGUCCUCAUGUUUUACUCUUUUAAUAUAUCCAUUCAUUCACUUGGUCACUCCUCUACCACACACACACAUACGUAUAUAUAUCCCAAAAAAGUAAUAGAACAAAAGAAACCUUGUACAUAGUGCCCAGUUGUGUUUUAUAUCCACGUAUAUAUAUGACACACAUAAUAUGACACUUUCAUUUACUCAUAAGGUCCUUAGCUCUGGACCAUUGCCUUCAAAGCUCUCAAUCCACCCAACUGUAAUUCAUUCAUAUCAUCCACUCUUCCAAUCAAUCUUUCUCUCUCUCUCUAUCUCUAUCUCUAUCUCUUUCUCUCUCUAGACCCAUACACACAGAUUCCUUCUCUUUCAACCAUACGUACCUUGGCUUAUCCUUUUAGAGAAUUAAUUGCUUGGUUUUGCCAAAGCCAAAAUAUCUUAGCUAUAAUUCUCACGGUUCUCUUCUUCAAUUUUCUUGAGAUUUAGCUAUGGUGAUGAUGGGUUUGGAGAGGUUGGUGGUGACUUUGAAAUCGAAAUUGAGUUCUCUGAAAAUGAAGAAGAAUUAUGACAAGAUUGAGAAGAGUGAGAGUAUGAGAGUAGAGAUAAGGAGCAGGAAGGCUCGGAAGCUGAUUGAGAAGACUUUGAAAACCGCCGACUCGCCAAAGAGCAAACACUACUAUACUAUAUGAAUGUUCAUCUGAAUCAAUAUAUAUAUAUAUAUAUAACUAGUGUUCUUCCCCAUAAUGUUCAUGUUCAAUCCACCAUAUAUGGUUUCCACUAGUUGAUAAAAGGUUCAUUGUUUUUUUUGUUU